rnacentral:rRNA from 1 species
ACGAACGCUGGCGGCAUGCCUAACACAUGCAAGUCGAACGAGACCUUCGGGUCUAGUGGCGCACGGGUGCGUAACGCGUGGGAACCUGCCCUUAGGUUCGGAAUAACUCCCCGAAAGGGGUGCUAAUACCGGAUAAUGUCUUCGGACCAAAGAUUUAUCGCCUUUGGAUGGGCCCGCGUUGGAUUAGCUAGUUGGUAGGGUAAAAGCCUACCAAGGCAACGAUCCAUAGCUGGUCUGAGAGGAUGAUCAGCCACACUGGGACUGAGACACGGCCCAGACUCCUACGGGAGGCAGCAGUGGGGAAUAUUGGACAAUGGGCGAAAGCCUGAUCCAGCAAUGCCGCGUGAGUGAUGAAGGCCUUAGGGUUGUAAAGCUCUUUUACCCGGGAUGAUAAUGACAGUACCGGGAGAAUAAGCGCCGGCUAACUCCGUG